GCUUACGGCCACACCGCCUGGUUCACGCCCGAUCUCGUUUGAUCUCGGAAGCUAAGAUAGGUUGGGCCUGGUUAGUACUUGGAUGGGAGACCGCCUGGGAAUACCAGGUGCUGUCCUUU
rnacentral:rRNA from 1 species